rnacentral:rRNA from 1 species
UACGUAUGGAGCAAGCGUUAUCCGGAUUUACUGGGUGUAAAGGGUGCGUAGGUGGCAGUGCAAGUCAGAUGUGAAAGGCCGGGGCUCAACCCCGGAGCUGCAUUUGAAACUGCAUAGCUAGAGUACAGGAGAGGCAGGCGGAAUUCCUAGUGUAGCGGUGAAAUGCGUAGAUAUUAGGAGGAACACCAGUGGCGAAGGCGGCCUGCUGGAUUGUUACUGACACUGAGGCACGAAAGCGUGGGGAGCAAACAGG